rnacentral:misc_RNA from 1 species
GAUGAAGAACGCAGCGAAAUGCGAUACGUAAUGUGAAUUGCAGAAUUCAGUGAAUCAUCGAGUCUUUGAACGCACAUUGCGCCCCCUGGUAUUCCGGGGGGCAUGCCUGUCCGAGCGUCAUUGCUGCCCUCAAGCACGGCUUGUGUGUUGGGCCUCCGUCCUCCUCCCGGGGGACGGGCCCGAAAGGCAGCGGCGGCACCGCGUCCGGUCCUCGAGCGUAUGGGGCUUCGUCACCCGCUCUUGUAGGCCCGGCCGGCGCUUGCCGACACAUCAAUCUUUUUUCCAGGUUGACCUCGGAUCAGGUAGGAAGACCCGCUGAACUUAAGCAUAUCAAUAAGCGGAGGA